GUGGCACUGAGGAAGGAAAAUGUCUUUGCACUUGUGUGAUAAUCCAGAUGUGACUUGAAUAUAUUGUUGUGGCAAAUACAUUAAAUGGCCAAAAAUGAUGAAUUAUGAGGGGCUGUCACUGUAGCUUUUUAUUUCACGUGUGAGAAUCAUGAGCAGUUCUCUCCUUGCCUUAAGAGGGCCUUACCAGUGAGUUUUUCUAUUGUAGCUUUAUCCACAGUGGAGUCACUUUACCACCCUGAGCCUUCUAAGCCAGACUUUGGGUAAGGACAGAGCUGGGUGGGGUUUUUAAGCUUUUCCUAUUCGUAAAUGUACAAAACUCAGCUGAGACUGGAUGAAGCCAGAAAAUGCUGCUUUACCUGGGAGACUGGGAGUCCUUCCUUGGACAUCUUCAGCUCAGUGCUGUCCUUGUCUAGGUGGGGAGGUUAAAAAACAAAACCAGCUCAGACUGGGGGACUGUAGGUGUGGGAUGGGGACAGCCCCGCUGUCCCUGUGCCCAUGUCGAGUGUCCCUGCAUGUUUCACAUCCAGGUUUUCUGCUCAGCCCCGGUGUCACUGUGCCCAUGUCGAGUGUCCCUGCAUGUUUCACAUCCAGGUUUUCUGCUCUAGCCCUGGUGUCACUGUGCCCAUGUCGAGUGUCCCUGCAUGUUUCACAUCCAGGUUUUCUGCUCUAGCCCUGGUGUCACUGUGCCCAUGUCGAGUGUCCCUGCAUGUUUCACAUCCAGGUUUUCUGCUCUAGCCCCGGUGUCACUGUGCCCAUGUCGAGUGUCCCUGCAUGUUUCACAUCCAGGUUUUCUGCUCAGCCCCGCUGUCCCUGUGCCCAUGUCGAGUGUCCCUGCAUGUUUCACAUCCAGGUUUUCUGCUCUAGCCCCGGUGUCACUGUGCCCAUGUCGAGUGUCCCUGCAUGUUUCACAUCCAGGUUUUCUGCUCCAGCCCCGGUGUCACUGUGCCCAUGUCGAGUGUCCCUGCAUGUUUCACAUCCAGGUUUUCUGCUCCAGCCCCGGUGUCACUGUGCCCAUGUCGAGUGUCCCUGCAUGUUUCACAUCCAGGUUUUCUGCUCUAGCCCUGGUGUCACUGUGCCCAUGUCGAGUGUCCCUGGGUGUUUCAGCACCCUCGGUUUUCUGCUCCAGCCCUCGGCCCGGCUCUCCGGAGCUGCCCCAGGGCUCAAGGCUGGGUUGGAGCAGGUUUGUACCCUGCGAUGCUUGAUUUAACACCGGCUCCAGGCAGGUGCUGUGUCCUGGCUGUUUGCAGAGGGGAGGAACCCGAGUGUGUCCGCAGCAGGGUCGCCUUUCCUUUGAUCUUUUUUGUACUUUGUACUCCUCUCCCUCCACACUUUGUCAUCUUCCCGAAGGAAACGCAGCUGAGAGUGCAGGAACAUUUCAUUUCAGAAUGUGUAAAAUGAUGGCUCCAGGUUAAUGCCAAGCCUUGGGAGGGCUGGCAGCUCCCAGCUGGAGCAGCCCCGUGUCUGCACUCACACGUGGGUACUAAAGUCAUUUAGCCCAAACAUUUUAUAGAGCUGUUUAUUAUAGUAAAGGAAAAGCAGGAUUCUGUUAGCAACUUUUUUUGUCCCCCCUGAAAUUUGAUCAGAGCAUUCCUUGAAUUGUUUCCCCUUUGCCACUUUCUGUUUUUCAGACUCUGGUUUUUGUGCAGCUGAAGGGAACUCAUUCCAUUCUCUUAAUUCUUGUUGAAGUGGAACAAAUACAAAUUUGGGCAGGGGAGCUCUGUACCAUCAUACUUAUGCAUUUGUAGAUGAUGUCAAUUGCUAAUUCUUUAAAACCUACCAGUAUUUAUGAUUUUAAGUUGAAAACACUUGUAAAAAUGUGCCUGUUUGCUUUAAACUCUGCAUGUGGGAGUUGCAGUGAAAGUUUUCAAGCAAAUUGUGAUUUCUGAUCUGGUUUUGGAGGUGGUUUUGGGGUGAAAUGUGCUGUUCUGCCCACCCUGUGAAGACAUGGGGGGUUGUUUGGUGCAAGUUUGGUGAUAAGUCUGUGCUGGCUGAUGUCAAGAAUGGGAAUUAAAAUGAGUGUGAAAUGUUGUUUUUCUGUCAGAAAUGCUGAAUCCCAGGGAUGUGCCCCUCUUCCAUACCCACAUAUCCCACACAGGUACCUGUGAAUGCUGGGGGCUGCAGGAAACUCCUUAAAAAGCAAAAGGGAUGGAGCCAAAGCUGAGUUAGGAGAUCAAAUUCCCAGUUUUGUGUUCGUGGGCUGGAUGUGGCACUCAGUGCUCGGGGCUGGGUGCCAAGGUGGGGUCGGGCACAGGUUGGACUUGGUGGCCUUGGAGGGCUUUUCCAGCCUUGGUGAUCCUGGGAUUGUGUAAAGGGUUGGGUAAAGGGUUGGGUAAAGGGUGUUCCUGCCCAGCUCUGCAGCCCUGGGUGGCUUUUGGGGCUCCUUGGGUCCCUUCCAGCUGCAUCCAUGGGGUGAUCCCAUGGAAUGCCCUCCUUGGGUCCCUUCCAGCUGCAUCCAUGGGGUGAUCCCAUGGAAUGCCCUCCUUGGGUCCUUUCCAGCUGCAUCCAUGGGGUGAUCCCAUGAAUGCCCUCCUUGGAUCCCUUCCAGCUCCAUCCAUGGGGUGAUCCCAUGGAAUGCCCUCCUUGGGUCCCUUCCAGCUGCAUCCAUGGGGUGAUCCCAAGGAAUGCCCUCCUUGGGUCCUUUCCAGCUGCAUCCAUGGGGUGAUCCCAUGAAUGCCCUCCCUGUAAAUAACGCACAGAGACGGAGUUCUGGGGAGUCAGGAAUUGCAGCAAGCCCCCUGUUGGGAUGGUGUAGGAGAUGCCGAAAUGCCGUUGCACAUUCCUUAUCCUCCCACCUCCGCUUUUAGCCGUGCUGGCUGGAGUUGUUUCCUGUGGGACACGCUCUCCCAGCAGGGUGGGCUCUGCCUGCAGCUCCUCCCUGGCGCUGCUCUGCCUGCCCAGAGCAGCUGUGGCUGCCCUGGAUCCCUGGCAGUGCCCCAGGCCAGGCUGGACACUGGGGCUGGGAGCAGCCUGGCACAGUGGGAGGUGUCCCUGCCCAUGGCAGGGAGUUGGAAUUAAAUGAUCUUUAAGGUCCCUUCCAACCCAAAACAGUCUGGGAUUCCAUGUUUCUCCUGGGACGUUUUUGUGGCGGGUGAAGGAAUGCUGAGCUGCCUUAAAGCCAGGUCUUUUCCUGCCUGUCCCUCUUAACUCCAUUAUUCCUUGACUUUGAUAUAACUUCUGAAAACUGCUUUUAGUUUUCCUUGGAAUCCAGUUAAAUAUUAGGUGAUUAAAAGAGAAGCCACCGUUCUCACACUUUAUUUUUGUCUGGUUUAGCCCAGCUGUGCAUUCCUUAGGCCUUUGUGCCUGGUGAAUGGAACUGUGAGUAGGCUUUUGAACAGAAACUGUUACUUUUGGGCUCUUUUUAUUAAGUGUAUAAAAGUUAAGACUGCUGAGUUCUCCUUCAUUGUUGUUUUGGUUUUUUAAUAAUACAUUUUUAAUUAAUUUAAUAAUUAAUACUUUCUUGAUGCUAUUACCACUUUUUAAAUUGCAGGUUGUGUCGCUCCUCUCUUGUUGCACAGUCUGUACUGAGUUAUUCUGAAUGUUUUUAUUGUAAUAUGGGGAUGAAAUACAUGUACAGAAUAGUCAACAAUAUUGACAAUAAAUACAGUUAAUUCUUGUCAUUAAUGUUUCAGUUCUGAUGGGUUUUACCUUCAUUCUUCAGAACUGGAAGGGUUUUAUUCUGUUUCAAAAACAUAUAUGUGUGUAUAUAUAUGUAGGAAAAUCAUGGGGUCAUGUAAAAGAGGUCAUGCAAAUUUCCUUGGGAACAAUGAAAAUGGUCUAAAUUUUUGUACAGAAAUAAAGAUUUAGUGUAAACAUUGAA